GUGACAGCUGGAAAAAUAAUUUAGUGAAUAAGUUGUUUGUUGUGUGCAGUGUGGUGAAUUAUUAAGUAUGGUGUUCCUUGUUUUUAAUUGAAUUAAAAUUUAUGGAUUUCUAAUGUAGAGCUAGCUGAAAAGUAGCUCAACUAUAUAUUCAAUUAAAUCGAUUAAAGAAUAUGUUUAAAAUUGUUUUAAAUAUUGAUCUAUACAAUGUGUAGUAAUAGUGCAAAAUAGUACGACAAAGUGACAAUAUGCGAUCAAAAUAUCAUUGGACUGCUUUAAGUGCCUUAGUGUUGUGUUCGAUAUCAAACACAAUAUUUGCCAUAGGACACUCAGACUUUACGAAAAAUUAUCAGUAUUAUCCGAAGGAAUCUUCCUCGGAAAAUGAAAUUUAUUCCAAUAACCAAGUAUUAU